rnacentral:rRNA from 1 species
UACGGAAGGCAGCAGUGGGGAAUAUUGCACAAUGGGCGCAAGCCUGAUGCAGCCAUGCCGCGUGUAUGAAAAAGGCCUUCGGGUUGUAAAGUACUUUCAGUCGUGAGGAAGGUGUUAAGGUUAAUAACCUUAGCAAUUGACGUUAGCGACAGAAGAAGCACCGGCUAACUCCGUGCCAGCAGCCGCGGUAAUACGGAGGGUGCGAGCGUUAAUCGGAAUUACUGGGCGUAAAGGGCACGCAGGCGGUUAAUUAAGUUGGAUGUGAAAUCCCCGGGCUUAACCUGGGAAUGGCAUUCAAGACUGGUUAGCUAGAGUCUUGUAGAGGGGGGUAGAAUUCCAUGUGUAGCGGUGAAAUGCGUAGAGAUGUGGAGGAAUACCGGUGGCGAAGGCGGCCCCUGGACAAAGACUGACGCUCAUGUGCGAAAGCGUGGGGAGCAAACAGGGAUUAGAUA